GACGAACGCUGGCGGCGUGCCUAAUACAUGCAAGUCGAGCGCAGGAAACCGUCUGAACCCUUCGGGGGGACGACGGAGGAAUGAGCGGCGGACGGGUGAGUAACACGUAAAGAACCUGCCCAUAGGUCUGGGAUAACCACGAGAAAUCGGGGCUAAUACCGGAUGUGUCAUCGGACCGCAUGGUCCGCUGACGAAAGGCGCUUCGGCGUCGCCCAUGGAUGGCUUUGCGGUGCAUUAGCUAGUUGGUGGGGUAAUGGCCCACCAAGGCGACGAUGCAUAGACGACCUGAGAGGGUGAUCGGCCACACUGGGACUGGGACACGGCCCAGACCCCUACGGGAGGCAGCAGUAGGGAAUCUUCCACAAUGGACGAAAGUCUGAUGGAGCAACGCCGCGUGAACGAUGAAGGCUUUCGGGUCGUAAAGUUCUGUUGUAAGGGAAGAACAAGUGCCGCAGGCAAUGGCGGCACCUUGACGGUACCUUGCGAGAAAGCCACGGCUAACUACGUGCCAGCAGCCGCGGUAACAC
rnacentral:rRNA from 1 species